GACGAACGCUGGCGGCGUGCUUAACACAUGCAAGUCGAACGCUGAAGCUCAGCUUUUGUUGGGUGGAUGAGUGGCGAACGGGUGAGUAACACGUGAGUAACCUGCCCCCUUCUUUGGGAUAACGCCCGGAAACGGGUGCUAAUACUGGAUAUUCACUGGUCUUCGCAUGGGGGUUGGUGGAAAGGGUUUUUCUGGUGGGGGAUGGGCUCGCGGCCUAUCAGCUUGUUGGUGGGGUGAUGGCCUACCAAGGCUUUGACGGGUAGCCGGCCUGAGAGGGUGACCGGUCACAUUGGGACGGGGAUACGGCCCAGACUCCUACGGGAGGCAGCAGUGGGGAAUAUUGCACAAUGGGCGCAAGCCUGAUGCAGCGACGCCGCGUGAGGGAUGGAGGCCUUCGGGUUGUGAACCUCUUUCGCUCAUGGUCAAGCCGCAACAAUGGUUGUGGUGAGGGUAGUGGGUAAAGAAGCGCCGGCUAACUACGUG
rnacentral:rRNA from 1 species